rnacentral:lncRNA from 1 species
GGACAUUUGGAGCAUAGUUCACUUGCAAGUUGUUCAUACAUUAGAGUAAAGAUCAGCAAUUUUUGAAGCAAUAAUGGCUACCAAAUUGAUUGUUUUGAUGAUUUGCUUUGCCUGCAUUUCACUAUAUCUGAUGGAAUCUGUCGAAGGCAAAAAUUAUGACCCCAAUACUCCUCCUCGUUCACCUUCACCUGUAGAAAGAGGACGUUCACGUACCGUUCCAGCCCAUCUGCAAAAUCAAGGACAGAAUGGUCAGCAAAAUGGGAACGGACAACAAAAUGGCCAACAAAAUGGUCAAAAUGGACAACAAAAUGGACGCCAUUAACAAACCAGUACUGAAAGUUCGUAUUUGAAUUUGUUAAUUUUGUAUAUGAAAAGGGUAUAAUAAAAAUAUUCUAAAUUUUA